GAAGCGGGAAGCCGGCACCGGCGCACGGCCGGGUAAGACCGGCACCGCUGAUCCGCAAGGAUCGGCUGCC
ncrna:Thermaerobacter subterraneus DSM 13965 Transposase-2 RNA